ensembl:snRNA U6 U6 spliceosomal RNA
GUGCUUGCUUCAACAGCAUAUAUACUACAAUUGGCACGACAGAAGAUCAGCGUGGCCCCUGAGCAAGGACGUAAAUGCCUCGACUGAGCUUGAAGGGACAGUU